AGAAAUUUUUGGGAUUUCGAUCUAAAAUAAUGUGUUUGGAUUCUUCAAAGUUGUGUAAUUAAUUUCUUUUUCGUUGAUUAUGGUAUUUUGGAAUCUGUGUUUUCACUGAUAGAUCUUUACAUCCACCUGAAAUAUUAGUAUGAUUGGGUAUGUUUUCACUGAUAGAUCUUUAAAAGUGGGUUUAUUAUCUCUUUCAAUAAUUACGUCAUCAUCACCCAUUAAAAGAUGAGGUUUUAAGAUAGCUUUCAAUAAAAAAAUCAUCUUUAGUUUUAAGUGAUAAAGAUUUUAUCAGAUCAUCGGGAUUGAAAUCAGCCAACCGUCUAUCACCUUUAAAAUAAACACUUCUUGGCUUGGUUGAGAUCCCCAGCCACACCAACACAUUCUUGUGAGGCAGUUCCCAGCGGCGCUUUGGAAACCCCCGCGUCCGACUGCUUUCAGGGACUAAGUCGACCGAGGAAGUAAGGGGGGGUCGGACGGUGCGAGGAUCGGAGAUGGAGGAAUACAUGGAGAACGUAAAGAGAUUGCGAACUCAGAUAAACGACAUCGAGGAGGCUGCGGCGAAGAGAUCGGUAGAGGAGCAGAAGCAGAAGACAGCGAUCGGCGCCUUGCAAACCGAUCUCAAUCUCGUGAGGACGGAAAUAAAGCGUUUGAACGAGGAGGCAGCGGAGAUGCUCAAAGCGCAAGCCCAGACCAGCUCCGAGAUAGCAGAGAAGCAAAAGAAGAUCUCCUCGCUGGAGACGGAGUCUUGCACCCUCUCUCAGACUUUGGAGCUUCUCCAACAAGAAAUGACCACCACAACGCUGAAACAUAAAGAAAAGAGAUCAUACUAUGCAAGGGUUACCGAAGACUUGAAUCUCAAAUUACGGGAACAACAGGAGUGGUACAACUCAAAAAGGCAGAAGAUGAAAGCAGAUGCUGCAUCAGUUGAUGAUAAUGUAGAUAAAGAAAUUGUUCAGACCAAAGGGAGUGGGAAUGCUAUGCCCUCCAUGGGAGCAAAUUUGGGGAAUACGGGUAAUGACACCAGUGGGAGAAAUAAGGAUUUGGAAAUUGAAUUGGAGUCUGCAAAAACCAAACUUGCAGAAAUAGAGGCAAAAAAAUCUGAAGUUGCUAGAGAUAGCAUUAAGUCCAAGCAGCUGCUUGAGGAAAUGAGUUACAAAUUGCAGGCAGCCCCUCCUGCACUGAGGGAAAUGGAUGUCAAAGCCUUGGAAGAGGAACACAGAUCUUUGGUGGCUGAUAAAGCUGGGGAGCUGGAGUACUUGCAGUCUCUAAAGGAACGGAUUAAACAACUGAAGAACAUCUCACAUAUCAUCAAAUGUCGAUGUGGAAAGGAGUACAAUGUGGAGCUGGUGAGUUGAAGCUGUGGCUUGCAUCCGAAGCAGUUUCAUGGUCUCAGCACUGGAGAGUGAGAAUAUAUAGUCUAAUUGAUCGCGAUAGCGACGUAGUCUUGGGCUGGACCGACCAGAAGGACGUCGUGUAUUGGCUCAGAUGGUGACGAGUUAUUCCACAAUAAUGUGGUUGGGCAUAUCCAACCAGUGUUUUCACAUCAUUCAUUAGGCAGUUGCUGCCGAGGAUGGUGACUCUUUAUCUCCAUUGGAAGAUACGCAUAUGAAUAUGAAUAUGCUUUGUGUUACGCCAACAACAUUUUGUGCAGAAUUGCUUGUCAUUAUCAACAUCUAAAAAGAUCAUUUUUCAA